rnacentral:rRNA from 1 species
UACGUAGGGGGCAAGCGUUGUCCGGAUUCAUUGGGCGUAAAGAGCGUGUAGGCGGCCAGGUAGGUCGGUUGUGAAAACUGGAGGCUCAACCUUCAGAGGUCGACCGAAACCAUCUGGCUAGAGUCCGGGAGAGGAGAGUGGAAUUCCUGGUGUAGCGGUGAAAUGCGCAGAUAUCAGGAAGAACACCCGUGGCUAAGGCGGCUCACUGGCCCGUAACUGACGCUGAGGCACGAAAGCGUGGGGAGCAAACAGG